GUCACAUUGGAUACCUGCGCGUUAGGAGAUUCUGGAGCCAGACGGAGAGCCGAAUGGCCUUCGCCCGCCCUGCCCCUCUCUUGCUUCAGAAGCCCCCAGAAACUCCGCGGUCGGCGACCCAGCCCGAGCCGCCUGAGGUCCCAAGGGGAAGCUGAACGCCUGCAGAAUGGGGAAAUGGAGAGAGAACCUGAAAGAGCCCCAAACUCGAGGACCUAUUGCUCCCCAAGAAUAACAUCUUCCAGAACUAGACAGAAACUAAGCGUCUGGAAACCCUGAAAUCCUUGGAGGAGUAGCAUCAUCCUGACCCUCUGUGCUCCUUUUGGCAAAGGACUUGCUUCCAUUGUUUGUUUGUUCAAUUGUCUGUUUGUUAAAUAAAUAAA
rnacentral:lncRNA from 1 species